rnacentral:rRNA from 1 species
AGAGUUCGAUCCUGGCUCAGGAUGAACGCUGGCGGCGUGCUUAACACAUGCAAGUCGAACGAACCUUCGGGUUAGUGGCGGACGGGUGAGUAACGCGUGAGAAUCUGCCCUCAGGAGGGGGAUAACGGUUGGAAACGACCGCUAAUACCCCAUAUGCCUACUGGUGAAAUGAAUUUCGCCUGAGGAUGAGCUCGCGUCUGAUUAGCUAGUUGGUGAGGUAAUGGCUCACCAAGGCUUCGAUCAGUAGCUGGUCUGAGAGGAUGAUCAGCCACACUGGGACUGAGACACGGCCCAGACUCCUACGGGAGGCAGCAGUGGGGAAUUUUCCGCAAUGGGCGAAAGCCUGACGGAGCAACGCCGCGUGAGGGACGAAGGCCUCUGGGCUGUAAACCUCUUUUCUCAAGGAAGAAGAUAUGACGGUACUUGAGGAAUAAGCCACGGCUAAUUCCGUGCCAGCCGCCGCG